rnacentral:lncRNA from 1 species
UCAAAGUGGUGGGAUAACAAAAGUUUUUUUUUUGCUUUUUAAAAAAUUCAAUGUUAGCAAGAGAAUGAUAAGUUUGGGAGCUUCAUAUGAUGCUUUAGAAGUGUAAAUUUCCUUUCUGAUAAGCAGCUAAGCAAGCUAUAUCAGGAAUGUAGCUUUUUGGUUGUUUUUUGAGAUGGUCUUGCGUUGUUGCCCAGGCUUUGAGUGCAGUGGCAUGAUCAUGGCUCACUGCAGCCUCAACCUCCCUGACUCAAGCGAUCCUCCCACCUCAGCCUCCCAGGUAGCUGCGACUACAGGCACGCACCACUCCACUCGGCUAAUUUUUUAUUUUUUAUUUUUGUAGAGACAGGGUCUUCCUAUGUUGCCCAGGCCAGUCUCUGAACUCCUGGGCUCAAGUGAUCCUUCUGCCUUGGCUCACACCUAUAAUCCCAGCCUCCCAAGUAGCUGGGACUACAAGGCACCUACUGCUGCACUUAGCUUUAUCUUUUAACUCAUAUUUUAAAUGUCUUCUACAAGGCACAGAAAAAUAAGUAGUUGUGUUCAUUUUUAAGUAAAUAGUAGUAAACAGUUUCAAAUGCUGUUUGAGAUGUUAAUUAAGGCACACACUUAGACUAGUCCAUUUGAUUUGAAAAUUAGGAUUUUAUUUGUGCUUUUUGUUAAUUACUGGCUUUUAAAAGAUCAGUAGUGGGGCAGAAACUAGACUAGUGGGUUGAAGGGUGAAUAGGAAAUAAGUAAUACUUAUUCUUUCAAGGAGCUUGACUGAAAAGGAGACAGUGGUAGUUUGAAGAUAUUGCUGUUUUUAAGAUAAAAAUGAUUUCAGCACUUUAAAAAUAAAAAGUUGGAAAUGAUCAAUGAAUCAAGGAUCAUCAAGAAAGAGGCAAGAGGAAGUAAGAUUAAGCACAAAGAGUAUCAACUGAUAGGUGGCAUUUCAAGGAACUUCAGGUGUUGAAUAUCUAAAGCACCAAAUGCGUGUGGACAGCAGUGAAGAUAAAGCUGGAAAUGCGCCGGCAGACCAACACAUGAUGAGCCCUGUAGGUGGUGGACAAAGACUAUGAGCAAGCCAUUUAGGCAAACAUCUGAAGAAUUUAAAAAUCAAAGGCAAACAAAUAGGACUGUUUCAUUAAGAUCACUUGCAUUCUAACAGGUUAUGAUGAAUGGAAAGCUGAUGGUUCCUGGUUGGAAAAAAGAUAAUUUUCAAUUUGGACAUGUCACAUUUGAGAUGCAGUUGACACACCCAAGAUACAUAAUAUAUUGUCUUUCAAAAUUCAGAAACCUAAUAAACCAUGAUCUUAAUAA